rnacentral:ncRNA from 1 species
AUUUAUAUUAUUUAUGCCUCUAACUGGAACGUACCUUGAGCAUAUAUGCUGUGACCCGAAAGAUGGUGAACUAUACUUGAUCAGGUUGAAGUCAGGGGAAACCCUGAUGGAAGACCGAAACAGUUCUGACGUGCAAAUCGAUUGUCAGAAUUGAGUAUAGGGGCGAAAGACCAAUCGAACCAUCUAGUAGCUGGUUCCUUCCGAAGUUUCCCUCAGGAUAGCUGGUGCAUUUUAAUAUUAUAUAAAAUAAUCUUAUCUGGUAAAGCGAAUGAUUAGAGGCCUUAGGGUCGAAACGAUCUUAACCCUAUUCUCAAACUUUAAAUGGGUAAGGAACCAUAACUUUCUUGAUAUGAAGAUCACGGUUAUGAUAUAAUGUGCCCAGUGGGGCCACUUUUGGUAAGCAGAACUGGCGCUGUGGGAUGAACCAAACGUAAUGUUACGGUGCCCAAAUUAACAACUCAUGCAGAUACCAUGAAAGGCGUUGGUUGCUUAAAACAGCAGGACGGUGAUCAUGGAAGUCGAAAUCCGCUAAGGAGUGUGUAACAACUCACCUGCCGAAGCAACUAGCCCUUAAAAUGGAUGGCGCUUAAGUUGUAUACCUAUACAUUACCGCUAAAGUAGAUGAUUUAUAUUACUUGUGAUAUAAAUUUUGAAACUUUAGUGAGUAGGAAGGUACAAUGGUAUGCGUAGAAGUGUUUGGCGUAAGCCUGCAUGGAGCUGCCAUUGGUACAGAUCUUGGUGGUAGUAGCAAAUAAUCGAAUGAGACCUUGGAGGACUGAAGUGGAGAAGGGUUUCGUGUGAACAGUGGUUGAUCACGAGUUAGUCGGUCCUAAGUCCAAGGCGAAAGCCGAAAAUUUUCAAGUAAAACAAAAAUGCCUAACUAUAUAAACAAAGCGAAUAUAAUACACUUGAAUAAUUUUGAACGAAAGGGAAUACGGUUCCAAUUCCGUAACCUGUUGAGUAUCCGUUUGUUAUUAAAUAUGGGCCUCGUGCUCAUCCUGGCAACAGGAACGACCAUAAAGAAGCCGUCGAGAGAUAUCGGAAGAGUUUUCUUUUCUGUUUUAUAGCCGUACUACCAUGGAAGUCUUUCGCAGAGAGAUAUGGUAGAUGGGCUAGAAGAGCAUGACAUAUACUGUUGUGUCGAUAUUUUCUCCUCGG